GGAUUGUAACUCAGUGGUAGAGCACUUGCCUAGCAUGUGUGAGGCCCUGGGUUCGAUCCUCAGCACCA
rnacentral:tRNA from 1 species